ACAAUGGGCGCAAGCCUGAUCCAGCCAUGCCGCGUGAGUGAUGAAGGCCCUAGGGUUGUAAAGCUCUUUCACCGGUGAAGAUAAUGACGGUAACCGGAGAAGAAGCCCCGGCUAACUUC
rnacentral:rRNA from 1 species